UUAAAAAGAACAACCUUUAAAGAGUAGAAUUAUUACCAUGUUGCCAUUUUGCAUAGGUGUCUUCCUCACAAUACACCUCAGCCUUCCUAUGCAUUAAUCCUUAAAUUACUAGAUUAUUUACAUCAAUUGCCAUUGGUAUGUCACAAAUUUACAGCAUGAUUUUUCAUUACAUUUUGACUAUAAUUACUGAUUUUUGUUCUUGAUGACCUAAUCUAUGGAACGUAGUGGUAACUGAAACCAAAUUAAUGAUUGAUAGCUAACUAUUUCUAUAAUUACGACCAUGAUUUAUUCAAAAUGUAAAUGUUAAUGUGUCUCGCUCUCUCUCUAAAAUGUUAACGUUUUUGGUUUAAAUUUUUACAAUACGAAAAUGCAAUUAAUAUUCCACCAUCUAGAAGUCUUUUGGUUCUGGUCCACAAUUUGUAUUCUAUAAUAAAAAAUAAAAAAUCAAUAUUAAAAUGUUAGAUUAGUGGUUUACAUCUUAAUUUAAUUUACCGGUUUUCUCAAGUGAGAGUAAUGUAUAUUAGUAUUUUCGGGAUUUUAGAAGAUCAUAAUUUUAUUGAAUUAAACAUUCAGGAAGCAUAUUAUUGGAUUACACCACACAAAUACUUAAACAUGUAACUGUUCAUUUUAUUGAAUUAAACAUUCAGGAAGCGCAGGUCUUAUCCUAGCAGUAUUGGCAAAUUAAUUGGAGAGAUGGUCGCUUCAAGAAGCUUACUAACAUUGAUGGAUUUUCAAAAGUUGUUUUUGAACCAAACGGUGUUCCAGAAAUCGAUGCUUUCAAGAAGAGGAUUGCAGACAAUGGAGUUUAAUUUCUAUAAGUGGCGAUUUUUUUUUUUUAAUGUUUUUCUUAUUUUUUUGCGCUCCUUUUCUGUUUUAUUAUUAAUAGUACUUUAAUGUCUUAUUUAUGUUUUUAAAAAUAUUAUUCAGCAUUUAUUUUAUGUCAACAAUUAUGUCUUAUAAGUUUCAAGUGAAU